rnacentral:rRNA from 1 species
CCUACGGGAGGCAGCAGUAGGGAAUCUUCCACAAUGGGCGAAAGCCUGAUGGAGCAACGCCGCGUGGGUGAAGAAGGUCUUCGGAUCGUAAAACCCUGUUGUCAGAGAAGAAAGUGCGUGAGAGUAACUGUCCACGUUUCGACGGUAUCUAAACAGAAAGCCACGGCUAACUACGUGCCAGCAGCCGCGGUAAUACGUAGGUGGCAAGCGUUAUGCGGAUUUAUUGGGCGUAAAGGGAACGCAGGCGGUCUUUUAAGUCUGAUGUGAAAGCCUUGGGCUAAACCGGGGUAGUGCAUUGGAAACUGGGAGACUUGAGUGCAGAAGAGGAGAGUGGAACUCCAGGUGUAGCGGUGAAAUGCGUAGAUAUAUGGAAGAACAGCAGUGGCGAAGGCGACUAUCUGGUCUGCAACUGACGCUGAGGUUCGAAAGCGUGGGUAGCAAACAGGAUUAGAUACCCGUGUAGUC